UUAGUUUUCAGACAAUUACAAAAAACAAUUUUAUUUGAAAUGAGUAGAAAUGACAAUAAGAAACCUGUCAGUCUCAUGUUUCAUGUUGGCGUCUGCACAUGUCGUCAGAUGCAAUUCAUGAAGAACAAGUUUGGAGAUGAGUAAAACUACCAAAUACAGAUUAUUCUAACCUUUAAACUGCAAGAAUCAGUUAUUGCUCUCAGUUCCAAGUUGUAGUUUUCACCUGUAGACAGAGGUUGCACAUCUGUAACCUCAUGGUUAAAGAUAAAAAUUGACAGCAAAUCUACAUUAUCUAAUUAAACUGAG